rnacentral:rRNA from 1 species
GACGAACGCUGGCGGCGUGCCUAAUACAUGCAAGUCGUACGCUUCUUUUUCCACCGGAGCUUGCUCCACCGGAAAAAGAGGAGUGGCGAACGGGUGAGUAACACGUGGGUAACCUGCCCAUCAGAAGGGGAUAACACUUGGAAACAGGUGCUAAUACCGUAUAACAAUCGAAACCGCAUGGUUUUGAUUUGAAAGGCGCUUUCGGGUGUCGCUGAUGGAUGGACCCGCGGUGCAUUAGCUAGUUGGUGAGGUAACGGCUCACCAAGGCCACGAUGCAUAGCCGACCUGAGAGGGUGAUCGGCCACAUUGGGACUGAGACACGGCCCAAACUCCUACGGGAGGCAGCAGUAGGGAAUCUUCGGCAAUGGACGAAAGUCUGACCGAGCAACGCCGCGUGAGUGAAGAAGGUUUUCGGAUCGUAAAACUCUGUUGUUAGAGAAGAAUAAGGAUGAGAGUAACUGUUCAUCCCUUGACGGUAUCUAACCAGAAAGCCACGGCUAACUACGUGCCAGCAGCCGCGGUAAUACGUAGGUGGCAAGCGUUGUCCGGAUUUAUUGGGCGUAAAGCGAGCGCAGGCGGUUUCUUAAGUCUGAUGUGAAAGCCCCCGGCUCAACCGGGGAGGGUCAUUGGAAACUGGGAGACUUGAGUGCAGAAGAGGAGAGUGGAAUUCCAUGUGUAGCGGUGAAAUGCGUAGAUAUAUGGAGGAACACCAGUGGCGAAGGCGGCUCUCUGGUCUGUAACUGACGCUGAGGCUCGAAAGCGUGGGGAGCAAACAGGAUUAGAUACCCUGGUAGUCCACGCCGUAAACGAUG